UGUCCAGUCUUUUUUUAGUAGCCACUUAGUCACAAACACUGGCCAAAGUUAGCCUUUAUAUUUGUUUGGGUGUUAAAAAUGCAAAAAACAAUUAUGAAUGUUAAUUUUGGCCAGUGUUUGACUAAGUGGCUACUAAAGAAGACUGAACA